rnacentral:rRNA from 1 species
UACCAGCUCUCCGAGUUGUGGGGACGUUUAUUGAGCCUGAAGCAUCCGUAGCCGGCUGUGCAAGUCCUCUGUUAAAUCCAGCGAUAAAUCGUUGGCCUGCGGGGGAUACUGCUCGGCUAGGGGGCGGGAGAGGCCGUCGGUAUUCUUGGGGUAGGGGUGAAAUCCUAUAAUCCCAGGAGGACCACCAGUGGCGAAGGCUGUCGGCUAGAACGCGCUCGACGGUGAGGGAUGAAAGCUGGGGGAGCGAACCGG